rnacentral:rRNA from 1 species
UAGGGAAUCUUCGGCAAUGGGGGCAACCCUGACCGAGCAACGCCGCGUGAGUGAAGAAGGUUUUCGGAUCGUAAAGCUCUGUUGUAAGUCAAGAACGAGUGUGAGAGUGGAAAGUUCACACUGUGACGGUAACUUACCAGAAAGGGACGGCUAACUACGUGCCAGCAGCCGCGGUAAUACGUAGGUCCCGAGCGUUGUCCGGAUUUAUUGGGCGUAAAGCGAGCGCAGGCGGUUAGAUAAGUCUGAAGUUAAAGGCUGUGGCUUAACCAUAGUACGCUUUGGAAACUGUUUAACUUGAGUGCAGAAGGGGAGAGUGGAAUUCCAUGUGUAGCGGUGAAAUGCGUAGAUAUAUGGAGGAACACCGGUGGCGAAAGCGGCUCUCUGGUCUGUAACUGACGCUGAGGCUCGAAAGCGUGGGGAGCGAACAGGAUUAGAUACCCUGGUAGUCCACGCCGUAAACGAUGAGUGCUAGGUGUUGGAUCCUUUCCGGGAUUCAGUGCCGCAGCUAACGCAUUAAGCACUCCGCCUGGGGAGUACGACCGCAAGGUUG